CCUACGGGCGGCAGCAGUGAGGAAUAUUGGUCAAUGGGCGUACGCCUGAACCAGCCAAGUCGCGUGAGGGAAGACUGCCCUAUGGGUUGUAAACCUCUUUUGUAAGGGAGCAAGGGGCGCUACGUGAAGCGUUAUCGAGAGGACCUGAAGAAAAAGCAGCGGCGAACUCCGUGCCAGCAGCCGCGGUAAUACGGAGGAUGCGAGCUUUAUCCGGAUUGAUUGGGUUUAAAGGGUGCGUAGGCGGAAUGCCAAGUCAGCGGUAAAAUCGCGGGGCUCAACCUCGCUCCUCCGUUGAAACUGGCGUUCUUGCGUGGGCGAGAAGUAUGCGGACUGCGUGGUGUAGCGGU
rnacentral:rRNA from 1 species